rnacentral:rRNA from 1 species
AUUGCAGGCUGCAACCCGCCCUGCAUGAAGUCGGAAUCGCUAGUAAUCGCGAGUCAGCAUAUCGCGGUGAAUACGUUCCCGGGUCUUGUACACACCGCCCGUCACACCAUGGGAGUUGGCAACACCCGAAGUCGAUGAGCUAACCUUUUAGGAGGCAGUCGCCUAAGGUGGGGUUGAUAACUGGGGUGAAGUCGUAACAAGGUAAC